UACAGAGGUCUCGAGCGUUGUUCGGAUUCAUUGGGCGUAAAGAGCGUGUAGGCGGCCAGGUAGGUCCGUUGUGAAAACUGGAGGCUUAACCUUCAGACGUCGAUGGAAACCGUCUGGCUAGAGUCCGGAAGAGGAGAGUGGAAUUCCUGGUGUAGCGGUGAAAUGCGCAGAUAUCAGGAAGAACACCCGUGGCUAAGGCGGCUCUCUAGUACGGUACUGACGCUGAGACGCGAAAGCGUGGGGAGCGAACAGG
rnacentral:rRNA from 1 species